GUGAUUCCAUAAUUCUAUGAUUUUAGCUGGCAGCAUGAGCCCAACUGGCAGCAUAGGCAAGGUGCUUUGGAACAUUUCUUGCCCCAUCCCAGCUCUUUUUGCUCUGCCUCAGCUCCUGCUCUGUGUUUUAGAUAUUCACAUUUGAUUUCCUUUUGCACCCUGAUGUAGUUAUUUCUGUGGAUUUCAGAAACUUGCUGUAGGAUGGAGCUCCCUGUCCUGGUUUUAAGGCAUUUGGACUUAAAGGAAUAUCAGAUUUUCGAGACCAGAGCUUCUGGUGUGUUCUGGUUUGGAAUGAUCUUCAGGCAAAGUGUCCCAGAAGGAUCUGCAUGGAUCUUUCCUCUGCUGUCCCAAACAGAGCCAUCUUUCCAUAGGGAGCUGGGCCCUAAAAACAAGGAGCAUGUCCACAUGGCCGUCAAGGUCCUUUCCAUAAAUAAAUCCAGUGGAGCUGGAAAGCUGGGCUGCCUGGAGACCUGAGUUAUAGUUGUAGGACAGGUGUUGAUGGAACCUCAAACAGGAGUUUGCCUGGCUUCUAAAAAUGGAGCAGAAAUUGUUUGUGAUGAACAUAUUAAAUUUAUAGGAGAUUUUUCAAAUCUUAUAAAAAAACAAACCAACGAAGAAGCAAUAAUCUUUCUUUAAACUGUUUUCUGUUGUAUUUAGGUUGGUUGUUCCAUGCAAAUAGUUUUUGCACCAGUUUGGUUUCACUGUUGAUGAAAAGCAGCAUCCGUGAGGCUUUUACCCUGUCAGCAUCAUGGAAAUACGUGGGAUUUUCCAGGCCUUUCCAGUUGGAAAAGAAAGUUAGAGUGACUUCUCUGCAGAGAGAUCUGUUUUCUGCCUGUGUUUGAUUUGUUAUUCCUUGUCUUCAGCAGCAUUUUCAAGCUGGAAGUGGCAUAAUCAUUCCCUAACAAAAGCAGUUUGGAUGCAAUCCCUGUUUGCUUUUUAAUAGGGAGCUAGUUUAUCUUUAUUAAUCACAGGUUCUCUGAAUCCUGCCCUCUGUUCCUUUCACAGACAGGAUUGAUGGAUUGAUUGCUUCUUCCCUAAGGGAGAAUUCCAGAGAGUCAAGUCUUUCCUGAAGCAAGAAACUUCCACAGAUUAUCCUGGCAUUGGCAUGAGGAGUUUGUCCCCUCUGUGUCCUGAAUUCCAGUCACUGAUGCCAAGUACCUUAAACCCCAAAACCAGUACCUUGAAUUUAGUUUUGAUAAGCCAGAUUCCUUCUGAUGUGUGGCACUGAAAACGAGUGUGCAAAUUGUUGGAAAGCAUCCCAGGGGAGGCUAAUGGCUACCUCAUGGAUUGUACCAUGGAGCUGGAUUCCAGACAGAAACUCUCCCCUGACUGUGGUCUUUGGGCAGCAAAACCAAAGCAAAAUUCCAUGAUUUUGGAAAACCAUGGAAGCAAAGGAGCUGCACAGCCUUGCCCCAGAUGUGUUGCUGGAGAGUCUGGACACUUCAGUCAUAUCCUGGGCUUCUAGAAAUGGAGAGUUGGCAGAAGAGCAGCACUGCUUUCCUGUUUGGAUACUGGAGGUGCCCCUGUUCCCACUUGGAUCCUUGCAACACCCCUCCUCUAGUCUGGUUUGUGGUGCUCAGCACGCACCAAAUGGCUCUGGUAGCACUCGGUACACAAUUAGCAUCAUUUUUACACUUGAAAAAAAAUGCUUCUGCUCUUAAGGUAGCUCAGAAUAUGUUUGAAAAGGAAAAAGAAAAGGUUGGAUUAAUGUUUUGGAACUAAUUAAGUUGAUCUGGCCUUGGGCCUUGUCUUCACCUGGUCCUGGGCCAGAGGUCACAUUGAUGUCAGAGGUUUUCCUGGACACAUUCCCUGGCACUCUUGGAAAAUGCUUCUUUUACAGGGCCACAGGCAGAAACAGGAGGACACAAAUAUUUUGUUUUUUAAGUGGCUGCUCAGCUUUGCAGCUGAGAAGGCCAAUAAAAAUCCCCUUGAAGCUUAUAUUCAAAUCCAAAAAAAUCUGUUUUAAAAGGCUUGGAUUCGUCAUCCAACAUCCUUUUAUUGGCUUGUCGCAAAUCAUUCCAUCUAUAUUUUUACCAGUCUAUAGGGUUAUAUAACUUUUAGGCUCUAAGACGACAUAGUUUUGCUAUUUGGGUGCAACACCUCAGCUUUUGGGCAGAGUUCAACCCAAAAUAGACACAACAACAUUUGGCUUCUCCUGUUCUGAGAGCAGCCAGGAGCCACUUCAAAUUCAAUUAGUAGCUCCAAAAGUGGACAAAACUAGUGACAGGCUUUUAAAGGUUAAUUUUGGGCUUCAUCAGACUGCAAAGUCCUCAGGCAAAGGACUUUUGGAUCCUAGAAUCCUUCCCAUGUUAUGUGUGAAGUUGUGGCAUUUGCAUUGGAACCAGGAAACUCAAAUUUUGGUCCCUGUUAAGCCUGUGAGCCUCUUGCAGCUAAAACUAUUAGGCUGAAUAAUGGAUUUGACUUCUUAGACUCACUUUCCAAGUCCUUUGAUGCCAGCAGAUCCCCUUGCUAAACACAGCUUUUCGAUAGGGUCAGUAGUUUCCAACAGGUUUCUUUUGGCCUGUAUUACCAUGUCUCGGUCAUGUCUUGCUUAAAUCUUGGCUGGAAUAGGAUAAAAACAAGAACCAGCUGGGGUUUUUUGUGGUCCUUGUAGGUUUUGUGCCAUGCUCUUUUAAAUUCUCCCCCUUUUAGAACGACCAUUACUUGGAUUUUUUUCAAAUCUGAUGGUACAUAACUCACAGGGCCGCUCACAGUUGGCUGGCGAAGUCACAUUGGUGUUUGAUUUUAAUGUGAUUUUUGGUAUCAGUUUCCCAUUGUUCCUGAGAAUGAGGAGUUUCAUCGUGGCUGGGCUUUGCCAACGAAGAUUUGGGAAGGGCUCUACCCACAUUUGCUGCAAAGGCCAGUACGAGAUAGACGAGUCCGGUUGCAAAAGGUACAGCAGAAAGACUCCUUGGAUGGU